rnacentral:lncRNA from 1 species
CAUCUUGAGCAUGUAUUGACCCUCUGGGCAGAAUAAACUUGGUUUGAGCUUUCAUAUUGUCCAUUGAGUUUUAACUCUGAAAAUUAGAACCUAACAGCACACACACUACAUACACCCAGACACACCCACACCCCAGCACACUACAUACACCCAGACACACACACUCACACCCCAUUUACACACUACAUACGCCCAGACACACACGCCCAGACACACACACUCACCCCAGCACACACUACAUACGCCCAGACACACACACUCACACCCAGCACACACUACAUACGCCCAGACACACACACUCACACCCCAGCACACACUACAUACGCCCAGACACACACACUCACACCCCAGCACACACUACAUACGCCCAGACACACACACUCACACCCCAGCACACACUACAUACGCCCAGACACACACACUCACACCCCAGCACACACUACAUACGCCCAGACACACACACUCACACCCCAGCACACACUACAUACGCCCAGACACACACACUCACACCCCAGCACACACUACAUACGCACAGACACACACACUCACACCCCAGCACACACUACAUACGCCCAGACACACACACUCACACCCCAGCACACACUACAUACGCCCAGACACACACACUCACACCCCAGCACACACUACAUACGCACAGACACACACACACACCCCAGCACACACUACAUACGCCCAGACACACACACACACACACUCACACCCCAGCACACACUACAUACGCCCAGACACACACACACACUCACACCCCAGCACACACUACAUACGCCCAGACACACACACACACUCACACCCCAGCACACACUACAUACGCCCAGACACACACACACUCACACCCCAGCACACACUACAUACGCCCAGACACACACACACUCACACCCCAGCACACACUACAUACGCCCAGACACACACACACUCACACCCCAGCACACACUACAUACGCCCAGACACACACACACACUCACACCCCAGCACACACUACAUACGCCUAAACGCACACACUCACACCUCAGCACACACUACAUACGCCCAGACACACACAACAUGCAUGCUGAUGCCACAUACCACGAACCCCAGAGGAGCCUUAUUGUUAUUAUAAACUGGUUGCCAAUGUAAUUAGAAGGGUAAAACUGAAUGUUUUGUCAUACGGUUUGAUAUACCACGGUUUACAGCCAAUCAGCAUUCAGGGCUCGGACCAGCCAGUUUUAUAAGAUUCG